UACGGAGGAUGCGAGCGUUAUCCGGAUUUAUUGGGUUUAAAGGGUGCGUAGGCGGUCCGCUAAGUCAGCGGUAAAAUUGCGGGGCUCAACCCCGUCGAGCCGUUGAAACUGUCAGACUUGAGUUGGCGAGAAGUACGCGGAAUGCGCGGUGUAGCGGUGAAAUGCAUAGAUAUCGCGCAGAACUCCGAUUGCGAAGGCAGCGUACCGGCGCCACACUGACGCUGAGGCACGAAAGCGUGGGGAUCGAACAGG
rnacentral:rRNA from 1 species